rnacentral:lncRNA from 1 species
CCGUUCUUUCAAGAAGAUCAAAGAACAAAAAGCCAAAAAAUGCAAAAAAAACACCAAAAGCAAUAGACUCCAACGCCUAAGUAGCUGAAGAACAACAAAGGAAAAAAUGCCUUCAAUCUGCAAAGAAGUAGCGAAAAUCAGCUGUAAAAUAGCCAAAAAGUACUGCUGAAAUAACACCAAAAUAAUCGGAAACAGCAGUUCAAGCCGCUGCCGAUUUCGCCAAGAAGCAGCCUAAAACAGUGGCAAUUUUUGGUUUUCAAAGUUUUUCCGUCAAAGUCGAGGUUCCGUUUAGGUGCUCCGUUCGUGUCUUGGAUGCCGUUUCCUCAUUCAAUUUAGGCAUUGAAAUUGGAUUUCGAAUUUCACUUUUUGAUCUGUCCUUUUCUCAAAUUGCAAAGAAAAUCUAAUAGAGGUCCAGUCCCUCAUCUCCAAUUUCUGGUAUUGAUCUAUUUGUGCGUCGAUUUUGCUUGAAGAUUUACCUGCUGCACAUUUUGCUUAAUCAAGUGUUACUUUGAUGAUGA